CAGAUGAAAGCGUAGACUGGGGUCCGAACAAGGGGUUCUUUUUUUAACUGGCCCAGGCACAUUGUUUUAUUGAAGGUUUUCUGCACGUAAAGUGCAAGAUGGAGCAUAGACAAGUUUUUGUUUCGUUAAUUGCCUGAGGCCCAAAGCACGGUGUUUUACUGGAACGCAGGUCUCCUCGGAGGAAAACAUUAGGCGCCGAGAUGUGCUGGCCUUCCCUUAUGGUCCAGACCAGUUGUUUUCAUCAAGGGAGCAUUGAGAUAGCCCUACACCUCGGAAGAAGUACCCAUAAACG